GGACGAACGCUGGCGGCGUGCUUAACACAUGCAAGUCGAGCGGUAAGGCCCUUUCGGGGGUACACGGAGCGGCGAACGGGUGAGUAACACGUGGGUGACCUGCCCUCAGCUCUGGGAUAAGCCUGGGAAACCGGGUCUAACACCGGAUAUGACUCCAUGACGCAUGUUGUGGGGUGAAAGCCUUGUGCGGCUGAGGAUGGG
rnacentral:rRNA from 1 species